rnacentral:lncRNA from 1 species
CGAAAAUCCGCACUAUCAAGUCUAAGUCGGUGAUCAAUUCAACGUGCCAUGCGAGGAAUGACAUUGGGUGAUGAAAAAAGAGGAGACUUCUUCUUCUGCUUAGAGGAAUAGCCCGAAAAGCGUUCAAAAAGAAAAAUCUGAAGAAAGGAGCAUGGAAUGAAGCAAUUGACAUCAUACCUGAAUGAAUAAAAAUCAAAUAAGAAAAAGGUUAAAGGAAAAGAAGUGCGGUUGAAAAGACAAAUAAUAUAUAUCUAUAUAUAUAUAUAUAUAUAUAUAUAGGAAAAUGAUUACCUCCCAACAAAUUCUUUCAUGGCAAGGAUUGUUUCGUCUAGGCGACGAUAUAAGGUCCCUAGGAAGAGAGAAGCAAGGGGAAUCUCUGAGCCUCGGGAUAAUAAUGCUGCCAAGCUGAACACACGGGCAGAAGGACCGUCUAUGGGAGAUCUAGG